GGUGAAUACAAAGCAGCAGAGACCUGGUACAGCCUCCUCUUCAGAAGAGAAACUCUCACGUGCACGGCAAAGCCCUCACAUCCUGCCGGGUUGCCACAUUUCAGUACCCCCGGCCCCGCUCCUCGAAUUCCGGUGGUGAAGUUAUCCUAUAUCCAUCUCACAUCUUGCAAGGGACCAUGGCAAGGAAGAAAAACCCAUACGCACUCCAAUGGAUCCUAACCAGAUCUAAUAUAGAACAGCUGCGCGCUUAUGAACGCAUGGGGAAGAUUGAAAAGCACAGAUUAACGCAUCCCAGAAAAGGAGCCAGGUUUGAUCAGACACAUUUCUGGGGUCACCGAGUUCAUAUCUGCUUGUGGAUUAUCUAUCGGAAUAUGUCAUUCCGCAGAGAAGGGAGCAGCUAAAGGGAGCCUGCCCUGCCGUGUUCUGCCUGUGUGUGCUCUGAGACAUCCCAGGGGUAUUUAUGAGCGGGGUGAUCUUAAGCGAUGCUCGCUUAAAACCCAAGAACGGCAGCAGAAAUAAAUUAACUGGAGAAUCUA
rnacentral:lncRNA from 1 species